GGGUGGAGCAUGUGGAAGUGGACGAGAAGACAGAAAAUCAGCAGGAUUUCGGAGAUGCUAUGACUCAAAUCAAUGCCCUAUGGAGCAGAAAAAUGGCUUUCUGCACUGGAAAGAAUGAGUUUCAGAUUUCCCUAGAAGGAACAUAUCUAACUAAAUUCUUCUUUUAGGUAAUAUAAAUCUUAUUUUUAUAUUUCCUUAUAUAACAUUUUCAGGAACAAAUAUUUUUUUAUUAUGAGGUUUCAACACUAAACUUUAAAUAAUACUACAUUUAUUUUUCUUAGGAACUGAUGUACACAAUAGCUUACCAGAUAUUUACCCACUUAACUCUCAAUGAAAUAUAUAUCAAAUAUAAAGAUAUAAAGCUAGUUUGUUUGUGAUUUAAUACAUCAUUUAGACCGAUCAAUGGUUUGAAACAAAUAUCAAACAGAACAAAAGCUAUUAUUCAAAGGGAAAAACAGAGUACGAUCAGAGUACAGAAAUUCAUUCAUGAGAGUUCAAAGGGAAGUAGUACAGAAAUUCAUUCAUGAGAGUUCAAAGGGAAAAACAGAGUACGAUUGGAGUACAGAAAUUCAUUCAUGAGAGUACAGCAAAGUGUCCAAUGCACAAUGAAUGUCAUUAUAGUAUGAAAAAUUUCUCUCUAAAAAGGAAAUCACAUACCUUCUCAGCAGCGGCGCGAACUAUCACCAUCUCAUUCUCAAGCUUCUUGACUCUGUUAUUUAUAGCUUCAAGUUUAGCAGCGCCACUCUUUAUAUCAUGCGAAACGAAUACCAUUACAAAAGCAAAGGUGACUGGUAUUGUGAAUCCCAAGGUCAACUGGAACAUUCUGGAAUUUGCCAUCAUUGUUUUGAAGGCAGAGAAAAUAGAUAAAGAAGAUGAAGAGAAGCUUAGUAUAAAUAGAUGAAAGAAUAGAUUUUAUUUAUAAAAAUAAUCCCAACGAAACGGUUAAGGGAAUCAUAAUUAGAAUCACGCGGAUUGCAUCAUGUAUUUUUUCAUGAACGCAACAACUUUGAUUCGUUUAUUGUUUAUAGUUAUUCAAAAAUUACAUCCAAAAAUAAUUCAUGUAGCACUAUAGUUAAAAAGGAAACUUUUUGUUGAUAUUAAGUUUAAUUAUAAAAUAGGUUUGUUGGGUGGAGCAUGUGGAAGUGGACGAGAAGACAGAAAAUUAGCAGGAUUUCAGAGAUGCUAUGACUUAAAUCAAUGCCUAUGGAGCAGAAAAAUGGCUUUCUGCACUAGAAAGAAUGAGUUUCAGAUUUCCCUAGAAGGAACAUAUCUAAUUAAAUUAUUCUUUCAGGUAAUAUAAAUCUUAUUUUUAUAUUUCCUUAUAUAACAUUUUCAAGAACAGAUACUACUACAAAAAUCAUAUUUUAUGACGUACAAAAACGAACUAUGACGUACAUAGUUUUGUACGUUAUAAUAGGUCUACAUAUUUUAUGACGUAGCAAAAAUUUACGUUAU
rnacentral:lncRNA from 1 species